rnacentral:rRNA from 1 species
AUGGGCAGUGAACUGCUCACAGCAACGCUUGCGGCACCGGUGGAGCCUCCGUUGAUCCCAUCCACGACCACUACCACCACUACCACCGGCAACGGAACCACCACCAGAACCAUCACAACAAUCACCACCACCACAUGCUCCUCCUCUGCCGCCGAUGGCACCACUACCACCACCACCACAACCACCACCACCACCACAACAACAACAACCAUCACAACCACCUCCAACGCCACAACCAUAUCAUCCCUCUGUGAUGAUGACCUUCGCGAGAUCUUCCUCCGCCUCCCGAACCUCCCGGCUCUCAUCCGUGCGGCGCUCACCUGCCGCUCCUGGCUCGGAGCCAUCCGCUCUUCCUCAUCCUUCCGCCGCCUGUUCCGCGCCCUCCACCCGGCGCCCCUCAUUGGGCUCUUUCUUGAAAUUGACGAUGCUACCACCCCCUCCUUCGUCCCUCUGCGCCGGUCAGAUCCCGACGUCACCGCUGCCCUCCGCCGCGGGGACUUCUACCUCACUUCCCUACUCAAGGCUGGCGCAUCCUCGGCUUGGAGUAUCACCGACUGCCGUGAUGGAUACAUCCUCCUAUGGAACAUGCUCGAUAAGCCGUCCGUCGCCGCCGUGAACCCCAUGACCUGGGCUGUGGACAUCAUCCCGUUGCCCGACGGUGUCAAGGCCGGGAGACGCCGCAAUUUUGCCUACCUUGGCUUCCACCUGCUGUGUUCUGAUGAGAACCCCUGGUCGUUCCGUGUGGUCUGCGUCUGCUCGGAUCAGCGAAGGAUCCGCGUCGCCAUCUUCUCGUCGGAGACGUGGGAGUGGGUCGUCCACCCGUGGGUACACACUGGUGGUGACUGCAGCCUAAAGUUUGGUGCUGGAAUGGUGGUGGAUGGUUCUGUUUACUGGCCUUACCAUGGCCAAGGACGAAUGAUAAAGAUCAACGUAGCGACCAUGGUUAUCACCACUGUGGAGCUACCCUUGCAGGUGAUGGUGGAGGGGUACAAUUUCAUGGCCGGGGAGACUAAGGAUGGACAGUUAUGCAUUGUCUAUGAAUCUGGUUUCUUCCUGCAUGUUUGGAUCCGUGGUGUGGACGGUUAUGGACUUGAUAACUGGGUGCUGCAUAACAUGAUACCUUUGAGUGAAGAAAUCGACGAGAUCACUCAGGGGUUCGCUCUGGAGUUGCAGGGUGACCUCAAAGUUGUGCAGGUCAGGUUUGGAUACGUCUACUUGUCCACGACAUGCACGACCCCUGCCGGCACGCUCCACUGCUGGUUCUUCUCCCUGUCAUUGGACACCUUGGUGCUUGAGUUGCUCGUGGAGGGGAAAUUUAAUGGCUGUGCGCAUCCUUAUAACAUGGCCUGGCCUCCUUGUUUGGUUGGUGAUGAUGGGAGCAUAGGGCAUGAAGUUGAAGCUUCUCACUGA